rnacentral:lncRNA from 1 species
CGCCGGCCACCACCUCCAGCCCCCUUCCUCCCUAUUCCUCCACUCUUAAAUAGGUCAUCCACCCCCCUCUGAUUACGUUGAGAGGAUUGUCCGGACUGCGCAGUCUUGGGAUGAAUCGCAUGACGCUGGGAUACUGAAACGGGUGAAGAUCCGGCGCGGAUGAGGUGCUUCACGAGCGGCUCGGACGGAGGAGGCUGGACAAAUCCGGAAGGGUGAGACGGCUGGGGCUCUGGGAUUUGGGCGUUGAAUGCCGACGGCUGGAAUGGAGGAGCCGAUCACAGCAAUCAGUGGAAGCUUGGAUCACGGCUUGAAAUCGGAAGGGAGCUUGAUCCGUGGAUGUUCACCGCUUGAAGAAUGGCUGGGAUGCUUGCAGUCGGAAGGAGUGGAUCACGGGAUGGUGGGGACCGUU